rnacentral:rRNA from 1 species
UCAUUAAAUCAGUUAUGGUUCCUUAGAUCGUACCCACAAUUACUUGGAUAACUGUGGUAAUUCUAGAGCUAAUACAUGCAAACAGAGCUCCGACCGGAGACGGAAGGAGUGCUUUUAUUAGAUCAAAACCAAUCGGUGGCGGUUCGCGCCGUCAUCGUACAACUUGGUGACUCUGAAUAACUUUACGCUGAUCGCACGGUCUUCGCACCGGCGACGCAUCUUUCAAAUGUCUGCCUUAUCAACUGUCGAUGGUAGGUUCUGCGCCUACCAUGGUUGUAACGGGUAACGGGGAAUCAGGGUUCGAUUCCGGAGAGGGAGCCUGARAAACGGCUACCACAUCCAAGGAAGGCAGCAGGCGCGCAAAUUACCCACUCCCGGCACGGGGAGGUAGUGACAAAAAAUA